rnacentral:snRNA from 1 species
GCGCUCACUUCAGCAGCACAUACACUAAAAUUGGAACAAUAAAGAGAUGAUUAGCAUGGCCCCUGCACAAGGAUGACAUGCAAAUUCAUGAAGCAUUCCAUAUAAAA